rnacentral:rRNA from 1 species
UAGGGAAUCUUCCACAAUGGACGAAAGUCUGAUGGAGCAACGCCGCGUGAGUGAAGAAGGUUUUCGGACCGUAAAGCUCUGUUGUUGGUGAAGAAGGAUAGAGGCAGUAACUGGUCUUUAUUUGACGGUAAUCAACCAGAAAGUCACGGCUAACUACGUGCCAC